rnacentral:piRNA from 1 species
UAAGUAUAGAUGUAGGGUUGUUUUU